rnacentral:rRNA from 1 species
CACUCCUGCGGGAGGCAGCAGUGGGGAAUUUUGGACAAUGGGGGCAACCCUGAUCCAGCAAUGCCGCGUGAGUGAAGAAGGCCUUCGGGUUGUAAAGCUCUUUUGUCAGGGAAGAAACGGUGGUGGCGAAUAACUACUACUAAUGACGGUACCUGAAGAAUAAGCACCGGCUAACUACGUGCCAGCAGCCGCGGUAAUACGUAGGGUGCAAGCGUUAAUCGGAAUUACUGGGCGUAAAGCGUGCGCAGGCGGUUGUGUAAGUCAGAUGUGAAAUCCCCGGGCUCAACCUGGGAAUUGCAUUUGAGACUGAACGGCUAGAGUGUGUCAGAGGGGGGUAGAAUUCCACGUGUAGCAGUGAAAUGCGUAGAUAUGUGGAGGAAUACCGAUGGCGAAGGCAGCCCCCUGGGAUAACACUGACGCUCAUGCACGAAAGCGUGGGGAGCAAACAUGAUUAGAAACCCUGGUAGUCCC